rfam:Hordeum vulgare subsp. vulgare, WGS project CAJW01000000 data, contig: morex_contig_1571428
UUUCUACCCCCUCCGUCCCAAAAAUUUUAUCUUAAAUUUGUCUAGAUAUGAAUGUAUGUAGUCACAUUUUAGUAUUUAGAUACAUUCAUCUUUAAAUAAACCCAAGGCAAGAAUUUUGAAACGGAGGAAGUAUAUA